AUUGAACGCUGGCGGCAUGCCUUACACAUGCAAGUCGAACGGCAGCGGGCCUUCGGGUGCCGGCGAGUGGCGAACGGGUGAGUAAUGCAUCGGAACGUGCCAUUGAGUGGGGGGAUAACGUAGCGAAAGUUGCGCUAAUACCGCAUAUUCUGUGAGCAGGAAAGCAGGGGACCGCAAGGCCUUGCGCUCUUUGAGCGGCCGAUGUCAGAUUAGCUAGUUGGUGAGGUAAAGGCUUACCAAGGCGACGAUCUGUAGCGGGUCUGAGAGGAUGAUCCGCCACACUGGAACUGAGACACGGUCCAGACUCCUACGGGAGGCAGCAGUGGGGAAUUUUGGACAAUGGGGGCAACCCUGAUCCAGCCAUGCCGCGUGAGUGAAGAA
rnacentral:rRNA from 1 species